UACGGAGGGAGCUAGCGUUGUUCGGAUAUACUGGGCGUAAAGCGCACGUAGGCGGCGCAGUAAGUCAGGGGUGAAAUCCCGGGGCUCAACCCCGGAACUGCCCUUAAAACUGCAGUGCUAGAAUCUUGGAGAGGCGAGUGGAAUUCCGAGUGUAGAGGUGAAAUUCGUAGAUAUUCGGAAGAACACCAGUGGCGAAGGCGACUCGCUGGACAAGUAUUGACGCUGAGGUGCGAAAGCGUGGGGAGCAAACAGG
rnacentral:rRNA from 1 species